rnacentral:lncRNA from 1 species
GGCGUCGAGUUAAGCGGAGUAAAGUCGCUUUCUUGCUCGAAUUUUAAGGCAAAAUUAAAGAAGAAAUGUUGAAUUCUCUACUCCAAGUGAAACUGAAAGGUAUGUAGCUUUCUAUUCAAUGUAAAAUGUUUGUAUUUUGACGAGGAAAAGUGUUUGAAACUACUUGUUGAAUUUGACGAACGCAAGUCGCUUUGGCGUGAAGCCGCCAUAAGACUUCUUGGCUGCCUAAAGACACAAAAUUUAGCCUUGCUUUUCGUUCCCUUUCGUCUAAGCAGGUAUUGAAAUGUGUUGAUGAAGUAUUCAGGGUGUUUUGUAGCUAAAUUUGUUGUAAAUUUUAUCGUUUUAGUGAGAAUUCUCAACCUCGUGCAACGAGCCGUGUCGAGUGAAGACUGAAGUCGCUUCUCGCCGGCUGAAUUCUAAAGCGAAAUUAAACGAGAAACGUUGAAGUCUCGUCCUCUAGCAAAACUAAAAGACUUAACUGAGGUAUGCCGCUUUCUUCGUUUUUUAGAAUGUUCAUAUUCGGGCGAGUAAAAGUGUUCAAAAUUUAUACAGCAAGUCGGUUCGCCGGCGUAAUCUCGUUCGACUACAUGAAGACACUGAUUUAGCUUUGCAUUUCGUUCUAUUCAGUUUUAUAAAAUUGGUAUUAUGGUUUGAUAACUACUCAAAGUGUUUUAGAGCUAAAUUUGUUUUAAUAUUUGUCGUUUUAGUGAAAAGAUAUGUUGACCACGUACAAAGUCAAAGAACCUCGUGCAACGAGCCGUGCCAAGUGAAGUCGCUUUCUUGCUGAAGUUGCUGGCUGAACUUUAAAGCGAAAUUAAACAAGAAACGCCGAAGUCUCGAUCGUCUUAAGACUUAACUGAGGUAUGCACUUUCUUUGUUUUUCAGAAUGUUCAUAUUCGGGCGAAUAAAAGUGUUUAACAUUGAUACGACUACAUGAAGACACUGAAUCAGUUAGCUUUGCGUUUCGUUCUAUUCAGUUUAAAUUGGUAUUAAGAUGGUUUGAUAAUUACUCAGAGUGUUUUAGAGCUAAAUUUGUUUUAAUAUUUGUCGUUUUAGUGAAAAGAAAUGUUGAACACGUGCACAGAACCUCGUCCAAAGGGUUGACCACGUGCCACUAGAACCUCGUGCAAAGAGUCGAGUCAAGUCAAGUCACUCAACUUCGAAUUUAAAAGCGAACUUGAACGAGGAAUGUUCACGUCUCAACCUCAAGCGCAACGCAAGACUGGAUUUUGAUGUAUGUUGCUUCAAUUCUAUGUAAAAUGUUCACAUUUCAUUGCCGUAAAAGUAUUUGAAUUUACUUGAAUAAAUUGACGAACGCGUGUUGAUUCGCUGACAUACUGUCGCAUUCGACUUCUGGGCGGGUCCCGGCAUAAAAAUUAAAGACCUAAGGGGUUAUAAGUUUACGUUUGGUGAUAUAAGAUUAUUGUUGCAUGCACGUGCGCGAAAUUACUGCAAUAAAAUUCAAGUCUCGUACCCCGCGAUGCGUUUUCUAUUGUCUUUAAUAUCUUUCUUUCUAAUUUAAUUCUAGGUUGAAUUGAUGAAGAUGACAAUGUGCGUCGCUGAAAAACCCAUUAUACCCCACACUGCGGUAGGGCAGUAAAGCUUUUUUUGAACCAAUUUUUAUUUUGAUUGCCCGUACUUUUUGUUUUAUUUUCAUGCAUAUAUCAUGAUGACGCCCAACUAGUCCACUGCUUGCCUUCUGAACAUUCUUAGACUCUGUUUGCAUGGUACCAUUUUACCACCGAGAAUUAUGUUGAGAUUUAUAUGGCAAAGUAGAAGCCUAACUAUAUGGUUUAUGGCUUUUGAGUUUGUAUUUAUAAAUGUAUUACGCUUCAUUGAAAAUGUAGGAAGCAAUCUGAUAGAAUGUGAGCCCAACUAUAUGUUCAUGGCUCCCGAGUAUACCUGCAUAUAUUAUUAUGCUUCAUUAAAAGUUGUAGGAAACUACUAUGUAUGGAGUUCAGAUCCCAAUGCUUUCUAUAUGCAUAAAAGUAGGUACGCACUGCGUACAUAGGAAGCAAUUAUAGAAUGCGAGUCCAACGAUAUGUUAAUGACUCUCGAGUUUAUACCUGUAUAUAUUAUUACGAUUCAUUAAAAGUUGUAGGAAAUUGUUAUAUAUGGAGUUCAUAGCCCGCGCUUCUAUAUGCAU